rnacentral:lncRNA from 1 species
CCCGGAAGCCCGUUCAAACUGUAUAAGGGUGAUCAGCUAUCACGGAGAAGGCUUUAGCAAGUCGGGGCCAGUGGCGCAAUGGAUAACGCGUCUGACUACGGAUCAGAAGAUUCUAUAAAUAUCUGAAAUUUUGAUGCCGCUUUGCUCACAAUGUCAUCCUUUAUCCUUUAAACCUGGAGUUGUCUGAGGUGGUUUGCAAACUGCAAAGCGCCCUGUUCCCAAUGAUGCACCUGAGAAGUCUGUAAAUGGGGUAAAUUUAGGCAAACACACCUGGAAAAGUGGCAUUUUGGAGUGGGGAAUGCUGUGGCCGGAGGUUAGCAACCGGAUGAUGCAAAAGCGUAUUUAAGGCAGCAGUUCUGGCCUUUCCCCGCCACGGAGCAGAAGCCCCCAUAGUGAUGUGAGAAGCGGCGCUGUCCCAGUUUACUAGGAUGGGAUGGGCUUUGGAUCUAACCAGCAGCGAAGAAAACCUGCGGUGCGGCUGCGCUCGGUAGUAGGGGUCCACAAAGCGUCAGAAUCUGCAGCAGCCCCGGCCUUUGCGAGCUCCAGCUCCGAAGUCAACCCGGCCCCCAAAUUCCACUGGGAAACCUUAAGACACCGGUGUUUUUACCGUAAGAAGACCUCAGAAGCCCAUGGAAACAAGGCGAUGACGGCGCUUGAGGGUGACCAGACCUCCUCAAUCAUUCCAUCAGCCACCCAGGACUCAACAGCAGAACCUCAGAGGACUCAGCUGAAAGAGGUUUUCACUCGAGCACUAACCACAGAGAAAUGGGAAGUGCCAUCCUGCUGUCAUACGCAGCCGAUGGCUGGGUAGGACUAAAUGCCCUUCUGUGGUGAGAUGAACCAAGACGGCAGAUGGGGGAAUAACAUCAGUGAGAGAGAGAUUACGAAUGGAUCCUUGUAUUGCAGAUCAAACUGGGUUGUCUCUUCUCAAACCACCCAGGCAGUUUCUGAAUGUCCCAAGAUAGGGGUAGGAGAAAAGAAAAAAAAGACAAAACAGGAGACGGUGGGUAAGAAAACCUAAAAGGCACAAUGAGGCAAAGGCCUAAGAUGGAGGCUGGCUUUGGGAUCUGAAAUCCGGCCACAAUCCUCCUUGUUUUACCUCAAGUCCAAGAAUUGUCAAAAAGAAAACCCAGAAGGGCUAUUCAUUCUAAAUUUUAAAAUCUUUUCUUCCUGGCCUACCAAGUCCUUGUGUUUUCUUUCUAGGCGCCCAUAAAUACAACCCCAUUACAGUUCUAUUUGGCUAAUAAUUUACAGAACAUUUAAAAUACCGGGUAGGUGAACAUCUCUUCAUGGCUUUUGUGUAAGGGCCUGAAGCGAAGAGAAAAACAACUGAUUGGAGAUUCCUAUCUGGCGCCUUCUCCAGGGAAACUGACAACCAGAGAAAUCUGUUGCUAGGAUUUCUAGGACAUCUGGAAAUUCCCUUUUUGUUCUUUCUCAACAAUAUAAAAUGGUAUAUUCGCAAACCUAUCUGAAUCACCUCAAUCUAGGCCACUUUGAAAAUUUCAUUUAAAAAUGUAAUCACAGAUUUUUAAACUAAUUACCCAAUUUGCAAACAAAUCCCAGCUACUUCUGGUCUUGAACAUGGAGCAAAGGUGUGUCAGUAAGGCCAACAUUCUUAGGUUGACAGAGACAGGUUAACACAUUGGCUGGC